UACAGAGGGUGCAAGCGUUAAUCGGAAUUACUGGGCGUAAAGCGUGCGUAGACGGUAGCGUAAGUCGGGUGUGAAACGGCCCGGUCAACCUGGGAAUUGCAUUCGAGACUGCUCUGCUAGGGUGCGGAAGAGGGAAGCGGAAUUUCCGGUGUAGCGGUGAAAUGCGUAGAGAUCCGGAGGAACACCAAAGGCGAAGGCAGUGUCCUGGGGAGUACCUGACGCUCAGGUGCGAAAGCCAGGGGAGCGAACGGG
rnacentral:rRNA from 1 species